AUUGAACGCUGGCGGCAGGCCUAACACAUGCAAGUCGAACGCGUGGCGGACGGGUGAGUAAUGUCUGGGAAACUGCCCGAUGGAGGGGGAUAACUCCUGGAAACGGUAGCUAAUAUCGCACACCCUCGGAUGUGCCCAGAUGGGAUUAGCUAGUUGGUGGGGUAACGGCUCACCAAGGCGACGCUCCCUAGCUGGUCUGAGAGGAUGACCAGCCACAAUGGAACUGAGACACGGCCCAGACUCCUACGGGAGGCAGCAGUGGGGAAUAUUGCACAAUGGGAGCAAGCCUGAUGCAGCCAUGCCGCGUGAAUGAAGAAGGCCUUCGGGUUGUAAAGUACUUUCAGCAGGGAGGCGUUAAUCGCAGAAGAAGCACCGGCUAACUCCGUGCCAGCAGCCGCGGUAAUAC
rnacentral:rRNA from 1 species